GGAAUAUGCACAAAUGUUGCUGCCUAUAUUCGAUACAGUGGCGAAUGCUUUUAAGAUGAAUCGCUUGGUGUAUUCCUCAUUUUCUGUAUUGCCUAUAUGAGACCUCUGUCAGUGUGGUUGUCGAGGGCUUUCUGCAGCAUCAUGCAGUCUCCUGAGAUGACUUUGAUGAAAUGACCUGCCCUGACCCACCCAAUGCUGGCAUGGUGUAUCCUGAUCAAAGGUACUGGAUGAAUAACUUGUUCCCUUGUAAGAAUGGGCUUGACGUUUUCUCCUUUUCUAAUCAGUGAGCUCAAAUGUCUCUGAAAUUGAAAUUAGACUGCAUGCAUUCACCAGUCUUUCCUCUGAGGGCCUGUGAGAGCCCGUUGGAUCUGGCCAUGAUUUCACCUUGAUUUUGGUUUCAUGUUGUUUGUAUAUGUGAGUGCCAUGUAAGUACAAAUUCCCUCUUAAUGCUCUUGAUUCCACUUUUAAGAAUGUCUUGUAAUUAUAAAGGUAGGAGGUGUACAAACGUUUUCCACUUUCUUGAUUUCUGUGGAGCGUCCUUAAUAUUAGAUUUCCUUUUCUGUAAGUAUUUAUGAAAUAUACAAAUAAUUGAGAUCAGUAUAUGUAGCAUGUGAAUAAAAUGUAUCUGUUUAGCACAUUUAAAAGGUAAUUUUGAAGCAGUGCUACACUUUUCACAUUGGUAAAAUUAUACACGUGACAUCAGCAAACUCAAACACUCUAGUUAUAUAUUAAUUUUGGUUUGAAACUUUGUCCACCUGUUGUCAUUAAAUCAUACUAUGUUUUUAAGGACAAGUUAUAUGAAUGUGUAAACAAAAUUCUGCAACUUUAAAUAAGAUACUGUACAUUUGUCAACAAUAGUGACAAAAAAAAAAACUUUAAUGAAUUGUCAGAUAGCCUAUGCUAUAACAACAACAUUUAAUGUCUUAAGUAUAUGGAAAAAUAGAUUAUAAGUUAUAUGUUAAAUACUGAAAAUACAUAUAUUUUUUAGUUUAUAGUGUUUACUUCAGUCUAAUCCAAAACUCUAGAUAUAGGAUACAGCAAGAUACAUUUGACUUAUUAACGCCAGAGGGCGCUCUUUAAUCGCUUUUGGGUCUUUAGGGUACAUUUAUACAUUUUUUUUAUUUUUAUUAUUGUUAUUUUUUUUAAUCUUAAAGUGCCAUUAAUAACAGUCAUGCCCUGUCUGGAUGUUCUCGAAAUGUAUAGAGUAUAGGCCAAAACUGUGUCCUACAGAUUUUUCUUCUUAACCAGUUCAGGAGAAAUGAAAAACUUGUAAGUAAAAUAAUUGUUCAACUUUAUAUAUAUCACAGCAAUAUGUUUGUAAACCAAUAAGAAACAUAUACAACGUAAGACCCCUACAUUCUAUAGACAUUGAGAAUAUAGUACACAAAUGUCAGAAUAUUCCAUUCCAAACAAUAGACUGUAAGCUGGCCUCUUCCAGCACACAUGGCACACAUUUCUGUACUCUUCCGUGUCUUCUUACAAACGCAGAAGGUACAUGUAACCACGUGAGCAGUUUCCAAGGGCUUUAAACUCUGACCUUUUGUAGAGUUAUAAAUGUACAAUGAGAAUUUAAAUAUCAAAUAUUGUUUUCAAGCUUUAAAGUCUUUUUCAUAGGAUCAGUUUUAAGACCUUGCUCACUCUAUACUCAUUUUAGACUGAUUAUUACCAUAACAAAAUGUAUUGUCACAUCUCCUGUGAGCCAUGACAUGACAUCAGAGCAGCUCCUCAAGCUGCUUUAUUAUGACACACACAGACAGAUUAUCAGCAGCAUUAGACAGAGCUGGAUAAAGAUCACCUACAAAAAAAAAAAAAAUGAAAACAACACGUCAUUUAAACCAUCUGUGAUUUAUACUCAUCCUUUAAGGAACAGAUGCAAAACAUUUUGCAAUAAGUGACCUUUGCUCAGUUCCACUCAGUGUUUGACACCCACUGUGACAACAAACCCUUCUCUUUGUCACUGUGCUUUUUGAGGGAAAAAUACACAUUUAUGCAAGGACAGAUACUAUUUAAUUAUGUGAGUUCAUUUAUAUUUAGACUUUAAUUUGAAAAUAACUUACUGCAUGUAUGUCUACAAAUGAAAAGAGUUUUUUUUUUUUUUUUUGAAGAAAAUAUUAGGUAUACCAAACUGCUAGGGUGGAUGCCAGGCAAUGCUUUGUGGUUUUGUAUCGUUGCUAGGAUGUUUUGGCUAGUUGUUUACUGGCCCCAGUCAAAAGAGCCCACUCUCUGAUAUUUUGAUCCCUAGAUAUUGCUUGGCUCCCCUCCUUUCAUGUAACUCUGUGAGUUUGUUUGUUUGUUUGUUUGUUUAUUUGCUUGUUUAAUUAACUGUCUGAUUGCUUAGAAAAACAGUAACACAUCUCUCCUCAACCUACUGCAAAACUCGAAGACAAACCGUACAGGAUGAGUUACACUCUUUAAAGUUUAAGGGUUAAAGAAUUGAUCAUAUCACUAACCAUAAGUAACCAUGAUCAAGAGUAAUUAGCAAACAGAAAGUGUUUGUUUGUUUGUUUGUUUGUUUGUUUAUGCUGAUGAGAGAAAAUUUAUUUUGAGCUCUUGUCAGUGAUGGGUGGUUGGAAGUGGCUUUCACUACCCCUUCCCCCAAAAACUAAUGAACAACAACAAGCAGGCCUUCCUUUCUUCACAGGCACAAAAGAUCAGUCUGGGCACUGAAGAGAGCAUAUGCCACUGAAAUCAGCCGGAUUUAAUUGGUAAACAACAUUUAACCGCAGUCCCCAUGACCAUAUCAUAAGUUUUUCAGCGUCUUUAUGCUGCAUGCGUUUUUAUCCCAAAUAUUUUUUUUAAUUGAUUUUACAGACAGUUGGUCACCUAAAAGCUACAUUUGGCUCUGUAUAAAGGUUUAAUAUUAUAUUUAUAGCAUUUAUAUUUUGCUCAGAACACAAAGAUGCAUCGAUGAAGCCUAAAUAUUAUAAUUUUGGAGUAUAAUUAUAGUUGUGUUGUUCAGCCCCACCAAACGCUGGCGUGAUGUAUCCUGAUCAUCAAGGAGAAGGUACUGGAUGAAUAUUCUGAAUAAUAGCAGAAUCCACGGUCUAACUUGUGAUGCAGCCUGGAACUAAACCACACCAUGCUGGUUCGUCUGGCCAGUCCCUGACUGAGCCUGGUUUCUCCCAAGGUUUUUUAUUCCCUUUCUGUCACCGAUGGAGUUUGGGUUCCUUCACCUUUGGCAGCAAUAUUAUUGAUUUGAUUACACAUACACUACUGGAUGAGAACUGAGCUGGAUGAUGACUGUUUACUAUUGUCCUCUUUUUAGAGCUGCUUUAUGGCAGAAUUGAAUUUUGUUUGCCUCUCUGAAACAUUAUUUUCCUGUUUAAGUCUGAAAAGCUGCUUUGACACAAUCUGUAUUGUUUAAAGUGCUAUAAAAAUAAAGGUGA